rnacentral:lncRNA from 1 species
AUAUACCAAAUUAUCUCCAGAAAACCCUUAUACAUUCUAUCCUCUUCAACAAAAAAGAAUGAGGAAAAAGGUCACAAUUGAUCUUGCCUAUGAAUUGUCAAAAAGGACAUACAUAAUUAGUUCUGCUAAGUUGUGCGAUGGUUCAAACGACUCAUAUAGACAAAAUAAUAUUUUAGAUUUAGAUUAAUUUUUAAGAAUAUUAAAUUAUCAAUCAAUUAUUAUUAAAGAAAUAUUAUACUAUAUUUGGUGGGGUACGCCAGGCAAUUGCUAUAGUGCAAAGCAAAAGCGACGUGCAAGAGACCCAAUAGCAAGCUAAUGUGGUGAACUCUUCCCCUCAAAAAAUAAAUUUAAUAUCGUGUGACUCAAUAAGCCACAUAUCAGAUAUUAAACUGAUAAGAACAGAUACUACACUUGAUCUUAGCCAAAAGGCCGAGAAAGGUAUGAUUAUUUCCUUGCCUCGCAGCUGCUUUUAUAUUUCACAUUCGCUCUGUUAUUCGUUUGGCUGGACGAUGUGGGACUUAGGGCAGUGCAGUUGUAACUUCAACUAAUGAUCGAGAGCACUCAACUCGACCACUGANNNNNNNNNNNNNNNNNNNNNNNNNNNNNNNNNNNNNNNNNNNNNNNNNNNNNNNNNNNNNNNAGAUUGUUUGUUUGUUUAACCAACUUGUUGAUAGUUUAAUUUCCACAACAAACUUAAUUAUCUUAACUUUUUCUCUCAUAUUCUUUCUCUUAUCAAUUCCAUCUGGACUCGUUUUUCAUAGUGGUUUCAAGUUCAACCCCUCUGGUCUACUGUAUUAUAUAUAUCUUCACUGCUUCAUUUCUUCCUCUUAGCAUCAGUUAAGGAAGUAAUGUCUCCUAUGUUAUGCAACAUUGAUUGUUUAUCAGUGAGGAAGCUAUAGCAUCUCAAGGAGAGAGAUCGAUUAGUUAGCAAAAGUUCUAGGAACCUUAAUUUGCUAGUGUGGGAUAUGGUAUUUUUUUUCAAUAAUUUAUAUAUAUAUAUAUAUAUAUCUACAAAAAUUGGAUGGAUUCUGCACAAUUUACUAUGAUCAGAACCUCAUAGGUGUUUUGGCCUAUGUGAAAAUAAUCAACGACCUUUUUUAAGUUCAAGACAAAGUCGACUCCAAUUAAUAGCGUGUCACAAUCCCAAAGUUUCUCCUACAUCCACCUCACAUAGGUGAGGACCUCAAUAUUUUAGCGAGCACAAAGCGACCCUCAUCAUCUCGUGUAUAUUACAUAUGCCAAAGCCAAUGCAAUUUUGUUGAUGUGCGAAUGAGGCAUCAACAUUACAUUUAUAUCUUCCAGCUUCCAGCUUUUUCGACCGAAUUUCAUUGACAUGGACAGUACUAAGUAGUGUUAAGCCGGUCGAACUUUACUAUGUCUGACCUCAUUAUUCUGUUUUUUUAUCAUAAAAAAAUUGUCUUAAUUUAAAAAAUUAAAUAAAAAGCUAAAUUGGUUCAUUGUAAAGUCUUAUGAUUCUGGUUAAAAAACCAGUUUAAAAAAUUCGGUGAAGAUUUUUAAAAAGUUCAUACAGAAUUUUUUUAGCGAGCAUGGUUGGUGAACUUUCUGAAAUUUGUGGUUCAAUUCAUGAACCAUUUAAUUGGUUUGAUCCUUUUUAGUACAGCAGUUCAACUUACUAAUAUGGUUCGAUUAACCAUAUAUUUUGUGCAUCUAUUUACAACUUGAAUACUCGUAACUUCAACUUUGUAACUUUUAUCAAACGAGUCAUUGGAAAUUGAUUAGUCUGGUUUCCUAAUGUAAAGGCAAUUGUUUUUAUUAGAAUUUUGAGUUAGGCUAAACUUAUAAAAUCUACUUGUGAGGUGAGAAUUGCACUCCUUUAGACUCGUGUUCCAAUCUUAUCUCAUUCAAUGUGAGACUCUUAACACACGUCAAGACCUGACAAAGCACAUAUACAAGGACAACAUCAAAGAGUGGAGCAAAUAGCAAUGACAGCCAACAACUAAACAAUUCAACCCAUAAUAACUUCAACCAAGAAUAAUUCUAUAACCUAUGUGUAUAGCAAAAUCACACAAUCAAUCAAAAACACUAAGAUAAAGAGAGUAGAUGAACAAACACACUAAUAUUAUUUACCCAGGUCAGCCCAGAUUUACCUACGUCCGGAAGAGAACAACUCUCCGGUCCACAUAAUUGAGUUCUUUACAAGAGAUGGAAAGAAUUACAAGAAAUUAGUUUAAAAAAAUCUUCAAGAACAAUCAGCAACAAUCAAACAUUAAAAGAAUCCAAAUUUCAUGAAUGCCCAGAACACAUUGAAAUAUUUUGCUACUUCAUUCAAGAAAAAUUGAUAUAUAGUUGCUCGUAUUCGAUCAAUUUGUCUAUAUUACUAGAAUUGGUAUCAAUUUGUAUCUCGAUUCUAUACCGGGUAGUUAUUCUGUACGUUUCAAGUGUAAUUUAAUUAGUGCUUUAUUACAUUCAUUGUAAACCUUGUUACAUAUCGAAAUUGCGAUCUUGAUUGAAACACACUUUAACAACAAAUCAACUCCAUUCAUAAACCACUUAAGGUAUUAGAGUUUAUCUAUUGGAGUCAUCCACCAUAUUAUCAACGCGGCAAACUCAAUAGUGCAACGUCUGAGGGAUGUAUUGAGAAAAAAGAUAUAAGGCAUGAAGAAGAAAAAUAAAUAGUUGCAUUUGAACCCCACACCUUAAAAGCCGGUUUCAUAAAGUGUGUUACUCUUAAUAUAAAAACCUAAUAGUAUUACUGCAACAAAUUACAUUCCAGCUUGUUUUGCAGAUUUGCCGCAAAGCCUCACCAAAACCAGACCAUAUAAAAGACGGACCCGAGAAACCAGAGAGCAAUGAUUUCAGUAUAAAAUGGAAACAAAAAUAUAGCACAACUUCAAUAAAGAACCAAAGUUACUAACCAAAUAAAAUAAGAAAAGAUUGAAUGAUAUUGCUAGUUUCAAGCUGAGCACCGACACUUCUGAUCAAAGACAUGUUCCAGUCUAUCUGACACCGACACGUGUGAUUAAAUUGAAUUAUGUAAUUUUCUCAAACUUUUAUCGGUAUCGACGUGUCCGUGCUUCAUUCAUUGGUUUCAAGCCACAAUGUCAUAUAGGACCAAUAUAAGCUUAAUAAAAAAGAGUGCUGCUAAAAAAAACAAUAUUUUCAAUUUUCAUAACUGUCUACUUGUGAUCAUAUUUGAUCUAAGGUUAAAAGUUGACAAUGUGGUUUUAGAAUAAAUAUCAAGUUCUGCCACCACCUAAAAAGUAGAAAUUAGAUAACAGUAAACUUAAUCACAUUUUGUAGGAGAUGCCAAGCAUGUACCUUGCUGAGAUGCCUGAAGUGAACUCUUCGUGCUUGGUCCUACCAAAAGAUAAGUUUCUGGAAAAGAAAAGCCGUAAAACGCAGACAAAAAAAUGUGCAUGAAUUCAUUCGUGUUAUAAUGAAGUAAACGAAAGGAAGGUGGUGAAUCAACAUUGUAGCUCAAACUUUAAGUUUUAAUACAUAGUACAUACAAUGAAUCUGUAUACAACUAGCCAUUGAGCUAUCGCACUUAUAGUUAUCUCACUGUCACAAAAUCUCCAAUAUACUUCAAAAUGUCACAAGUAAUGAUCCAUUAUCGAAUAACUAUUUUCAAAUAGAAUAAUUAGAUGCUAAAUUCAGCUUUCUGAUAGACAAAUAAAACAAACACAAUCUCAAUGCUAUAUACCAAAUUAUCUCCGGCAAACCAUUAUACAUUCUAUCCUCUUCAACAGAAAAGAAUGAGGAAAAAGGUCACAAUUGAUCUUGUCUAUGAAUUGUCAAAAAGGACAAACAUAACUAGUUCUCCUAAAUAAAAUAACGUCUAGCGCUAUGAAAAGUAACAAUCCUAACAUAAGAACAAAACAUGAAUCACAUAUAAAAACCAUAAUCUUCUCUCG